rnacentral:rRNA from 1 species
CUUAAAUUGAAGAGUUUGAUCAUGGCUCAGAUUGAACGCUGGCGGCAGGCCUAACACAUGCAAGUCGAGCGGUAGCACAGGAGAGCUUG